CCUACGGGCGGCAUCAGUGGGGAAUAUUGGACAAUGGGCGAAAGCCUGAUCCAGCCAUGCCGCGUGUGUGAAGAAGGCCUUCGGGUUGUAAAGCACUUUCAGUGGGGAAGAAAGCCUUGGGGCUAAUACCCUCGAGGAAGGACAUCACCCACAGAAGAAGCACCGGCUAACUCCGUGCCAGCAGCCGCGGUAAUACGGAGGGUGCGAGCGUUAAUCGGAAUUACUGGGCGUAAAGCGCGCGUAGGCGGUCUGAUAAGCCGGUUGUGAAAGCCCCGGGCUCAACCUGGGAACGGCAUCCGGAACUGUCAGGCUAGAGUGCAGGAGAGGAAGGUAGAAUUCCCGGUGUAGCGGUGAAAUGCGUAGAGAUCGGGAGGAAUACCAGUGGCGAAGGCGGCCUUCUGGACUGACACUGACGCUGAGGUGCGAAAGCGUGGGUAGCAAACAGGAUUAGAUACCCCAGUAGUC
rnacentral:rRNA from 1 species